rnacentral:pre_miRNA from 1 species
GUAGUACUCCCUCCGUCCGGAAAUACUUGUCAUCAAAAUGAAUAAAAGGGGAUGUAUCUAGAUGUAUAUUAGUUCUAGAUACAUCUUUUUUUAUCCAUUUUGAUGACAAGUAUUUUCGGACGGAGAGAGUACUUG